rnacentral:tRNA from 1 species
GCCUCGGUGGCACAGUGGAUAGCGCGGCCCCCUCCUAAGGGGCAGGUCGCAGGUUCGAUUCCUGCCCGAGGCG